rnacentral:rRNA from 1 species
UACGUAGGGUGCAAGCGUUAAUCGGAAUUACUGGGCGUAAAGCGUGCGCAGGCGGUGAUGUAUGACAGUUGUGAAAUCCCCGGGCUCAACCUGGGAACUGCAUCUGUGACUGCAUCGCUGGAGUGCGGCAGAGGGGGAUGGAAUUCCGCGUGUAGCAGUGAAAUGCGUAGAUAUGCGGAGGAACACCGAUGGCGAAGGCAAUCCCCUGGGCCUGCACUGACGCUCAUGCACGAAAGCGUGGGGAGCAAACAGG